rnacentral:rRNA from 1 species
AGGGCACCACCAGGAGUGGAGCCUGCGGCUUAAUUUGACUCAACCCGGGAAAACUCACCCGGUCCGGACACUAUGAGGAUUGACAGAUUGAGAGCUCUUUCUUGAUAAAGUGGGUGGUGGUGCAUGGCCGUUCUUAGUUGGUGGAACGAUUUGUCUGGUUAAUUCCGAUAACGAACGAGACUCUAACCUAUUAACUAGAACUCCGGAACAAUCUCCUUCGGGCGACCGGAGAACUUCUUAGAGGGACAGGCGGCGAUUCAGCCGCACGAGAAAGAGCAAUAACAGGUCUGUGAUGCCCUUAGAUGUCCGGGGCCGCACGCGCGCUACACUGAAGUGUGCAGCGUGCGUGUGUUUCCUUCUCUGAAAAGAGUGGGAAACCCUAGGAAUUCACUUCGUACUUGGGAUAGAGCAUUGUAACUAUACUCUUGAACGAGGAAUUCCCAGUAAGCGUGAGUCAAUAACUAGCGUUGAUUACGUCCCUGCCCUUUGUACACACCGCCCGUCGCUACUACCGAUUGA